rnacentral:rRNA from 1 species
CCUACGGGGGGCAGCAGUGGGGAAUAUUGGACAAUGGGCGAAAGCCUGAUCCAGCCAUGCCGCGUGUGUGAAGAAGGCCUUCGGGUUGUAAAGCACUUUCAGUGGGGAAGAAAGCCUUGGGGCUAAUACCCUCGAGGAAGGACAUCACCCACAGAAGAAGCACCGACUAACUCCGUGCCAGCAGCCGCGGUAAUACGGAGGGUGCGAGCGUUAAUCGGAAUUACUGGGCGUAAAGCGCGCGUAGGCGGUCUGAUAAGCCGGUUGUGAAAGCCCCGGGCUCAACCUGGGAACGGCAUCCGGAACUGUCAGGCUAGAGUGCAGGAGAGGAAGGUAGAAUUCCCGGUGUAGCGGUGAAAUGCGUAGAGAUCGGGAGGAAUACCAGUGGCGAAGGCGGCCUUCUGGACUGACACUGACGCUGAGGUGCGAAAGCGUGGGUAGCAAACAGGAUUAGAUACCCGUGUAGUC